GACGAACGCUGGCGGCGUGCCUAACACAUGCAAGUCGAGCGGAGAUGUACUGAAGAUUUAUCGGAUGUACAUCUUAGCGGCGGACGGGUGAGUAACGCGUGGGCAACCUGCCUUCCACUGGGGGAUAACACAGGGAAACCUGUGCUAAUACCGCAUGACAUCACAUAGGGCAUCCUGUGUGAUCAAAGGAGUGAUCCGGUGGAAGAUGGGCCCGCGUCCGAUUAGCUAGUUGGUGAGGUAACGGCUCACCAAGGCGACGAUCGGUAGCCGGACUGAGAGGUUGGCCGGCCACAUUGGGACUGAGACACGGCCCAGACUCCUACGGGAGGCAGCAGUGGGGAAUAUUGCGCAAUGGGGGGAACCCUGACGCAGCGACGCCGCGUGAAGGAAGAAGGCCUUCGGGUUGUAAACUUCUUUGAUGAGGGACGAAGGAAGUGACGGUACCUACAAAACAAGCCACGGCUAACUACGUGCCAGCAGCCGCGGUAAAAGUACUCU
rnacentral:rRNA from 1 species